rnacentral:rRNA from 1 species
AGGUCGACGAACUUCCGUUAAUUGAUUAUGACGUACUUGUACUGAUUGAGAUUUUAACACGAAGUGAGUGGCGAACGGGUGAGUAACACGUGGGUAAUCUGCCCAGAAGUAGGGGAUAACACCUGGAAACAGAUGCUAAUACCGUAUAACAGAGAAAACCGCAUGGUUUUCUUUUAAAAGAUGGCUCUGCUAUCACUUCUGGAUGGACCCGCGGCGUAUUAGCUAGUUGGUGAGGUAAAGGCUCACCAAGGCAGUGAUACGUAGCCGACCUGAGAGGGUAAUCGGCCACAUUGGGACUGAGACACGGCCCAGACUCCUACGGGAGGCAGCAGUAGGGAAUCUUCCACAAUGGACGCAAGUCUGAUGGAGCAACGCCGCGUGAGUGAAGAAGGGUUUCGGCUCGUAAAGCUCUGUUGUUAAAGAAGAACGUGGGUAAGAGUAACUGUUUACCCAGUGACGGUAUUUAACCAGAAAGCCACGGCUAACUACGUGCCAGCAGCCGCGGUAAUACGUAGGUGGCAAGCGUUAUCCGGAUUUAUUGGGCGUAAAGCGAGCGCAGGCGGUCUUUUAAGUCUAAUGUGAAAGCCUUCGGCUCAACCGAAGAAGUGCAUUGGAAACUGGGAGACUUGAGUGCAGAAGAGGACAGUGGAACUCCAUGUGUAGCGGUGAAAUGCGUAGAUAUAUGGAAGACACCAGUGGCGAAGGCGGCUGUCUGGUCUG